AAGCAAAACAGAAGCUAAAAAUGAGUCAAUUUAAUAGAAAAUGGGAAAUGUUCCUGGGUCAAGUGUGCAUCUGUGCCUCUUUAUAUAUCCUAGUCUAAAUAUAGGUGCUCUGAGGGCUUGCUAGAGAUAACUACAGAAAGGAAGGUGGAAAGAAAGAAGCCACUUAAUUUCCUCCUGCCCUUCCCCCAGUCCACAUAGUGUCUGCAAACCCCCGAGUUGUGCCAGUUUAACCUCCUGAAGGCUCUGGAUAGUGAAGCCACAAAACUGGGAGAACUGGAAGAAAUCCCACCUGCAAAGUUAAGUGGCAAGGAGAGGCUUUUUUUUUCUUUUUUAAUCACUGUUCUUGAUCCUGCAUUUCCUAAACCCUGUUGUAGGCUGGAGUUGGUAAUUUCUUUUUUUUCAUUAUUAUUUUUUUUUUUUUUUAUUACCAUAAGUUGGAAUUUAUGGGCCAGCUGAUCCUCUUUGAAAAGAGUCCUUGUGUGCUGGAGAAGGGAGGGUGGGACCAACCUGUCAGCAGGGAGCUUUUGGGCUACUCCAAAAGCAAUUAUUUGUUGUUCUCCCUUCCCUUCAAUGUAUCCCCCUAGAAAAAUAAAUAAAUAAAAGUGUUCGACUUUCUUUUAACAGCUGCCCACAAAGGUUCCUUUCUUAACACUUUUUUUUUUUUUUUUUCAGUUGGUCCUCCUGAUUCCUUGGCACAGCAAAGGAAUUAUAAGAAAACUCCAGCGACAGUGGGAUCCUCUUGGGGACACCUUGCUCUCAGUAAUUUUUUUUUAUGCAAACCAUUUAGGAGACAAGAGAGAGAUACUGAAGAAUGAAGCCCUCCUUUGAAGGUGAUCUCAUUCCAGAAAGGAAUUUGAAUGUUGGCAGCUUCCAUUUCACUUAGGACCAACAGCCUGUUGCUUAUUGUUUCCUGCCAGAUUUAUCUUUGGACAUCCUGCCCAGAAAUCAUUGCACUUCUCUACAGCAGAAUAAACAUUCAAGGGACCCAGCCACAUGGACAUGCGUGGAGGAGGAGAUAGGGAGACUUGGAGAUCAAACCAGUGCAAAAACUCUUCAUUACGAUGGUAAGUCCUGGGCUAGAGGAAAAAGUAAAAAAAAAAAUGCAAUGAAAUAAAAUCCCUGCCUUGAUUGUGUGUGGGUGGAUAACUCACUUCCUUCAAACGCUGCUUAUCCACUGAUGCCACACACAGCAUGUGAGUACUCCAGCUUCUGUGCCUCCCCGUCAUCUACUUCUUAAAUCAUUGCAAAUAUAUACAGAAAAAAAGCUUUGUGAUAAAGCUGGUACAGGGGAAGAAAUACAACUUCUCCAGCAGAGCUGUGGCAGUGUGACAAGCUCUUGGACACUAUCCAGUGAGCUGAAGCAACUGAAACUCAGGCCUGAAGCUGCUGAACGGUGACGUUUUGGUCAGGACCAAGAUCUGCUGCAGUGACUUCAGGAGGUGGAGGUCACACCUCUGUGUGCAGAACAUGUGCAUUCCUAAACAUGCACGGUCUUGGGGCCUCUCCACCAUGCCACUGAGCACCCCAGUAGGACAAGGAAGCACUCAGUACUUUUCCUUUUUAGGUGCAAACUUCUGGGCAAAUGCCCAGGCAGUCAAAGCUGGAUGCAGAAGUAGGGAUGAAUUAAAUUUCCUUUGUCUUGUGGUAAAGCUGAGAUCUCCUCUAUACCAUUAGCAGAAGGAAGCUCACAGUUUUUCAAAAGGUUUAUAUUGGAUACCACAUUAAAUUUCUUAGUAAAUCCUGAUAUACUAAAUGUUACUACAGAACCUGAUGAUGGGGAGCAGUUAUUAUAUAUAUACUUGCACUUCAUUGAUCUGAACAUCCAAAAUAUUUCCAGAUUUUGGCAGAUGCUAAAAUAAUCUAUUUAAGCUAUGCUAUCAGGACAGGUAGGCAUGAGCCCAUAGACAAAAAGGGGUUUAGGUAUCUGACACUGUGAUACAGUGGGUAUGUGGAGGGCAUAUGUACUCUCGCAUGUUGGAGGGGUAUAGAGCUGAAUAGAAUUGAUCAGGAAGACAGGCAGAAACAUGGACUGGAUGGGAAAGAGACAAGUGAAUGAAGUACAAUUGGACUGAGCAUAAGUUCUUGCUUUCCCUCCCCUGGCCACAGGCCUAGGCAAAGGGGUUCUCAGGGCCAACCAUCCACUGCCAGCAUGUCAUUAAUUACUGAUAAAAUUCACUUGCUGUUGCACUUGUGCCUGGUGCCAGCCUCUGGCCAAAAGUGACAUAUUUUGUCUGUGAUCAACAUCAAAGAAAGGGAAGAGAAGCCUUGGAA